rnacentral:lncRNA from 1 species
CAGCAGAGAAUGACUGAAACCGUGUAUGUCAGUGCAACAAACAAUUCCACAAAGCGGACUCAAUUCAGGGCAGUAAUAGAUUGACCUGUUAGAUGACCUGGCUUCAGAAGAAAACAGACAGGCUGUCAGGAACUGAUAAUGCAAUAUAAGAUACUGAGCCGUGAGGUUCUUACCUUCAUUUUUGUGGAAACUGAACAGAAAUGUUCAAAAGAAUUCAAUGCUGCCUUUCAAGAGGGAAUCCUUAGGUGGAAGAGAACCAGUAUAACUGUUUCACUGCCAUAUUACCAUCCUCCCCUAUAGCAAGGAAAGGAGCUCCUGAGACUUAUUUCCUGGGCAAGCAGAA